rnacentral:rRNA from 1 species
UACGGAGGGUGCGAGCGUUGUCCGGAAUCAUUGGGCGUAAAGGGCGCGUAGGUGGCCCGGUCAGUUCGUGGUGAAAGCGCGGGGCUCAACCCUGCGUCGGCCAUGAAUACUGCCGCGGCUGGAGCACUGUAGAGGCAGGCGGGAUUCCGGGUGUAGCGGUGGAAUGCGUAGAGAUCCGGAAGAACACCGGUGGCGAAGGCGGCCUGCUGGGCAGUUGCUGACACUGAGGCGCGACAGCGUGGGGAGCAAACAGG